CACUAUUCACUGCCCAACAUUUAAUGUCUGUCUUCUUCCCCCCUAACUCUCCCAUUUAAGGAGCAAUACUGCAAAUGUGUUUGUUUACAAAAUCUUUGUGUGGAACAGUUUAAAUGAUUAUUUUUUGAGGCAUAAUUUAGGACAUCUGGGAAUAAAUUUGUGUAAACAAAUUCCUUUUGUUCCUUCUCCCUCAGCCCCCAAUCCUACACAGCAAUUGGACUUUAUCAUCCGGAGGCAAAAAAAAAAAAAAAAAAACUGGAAUAUUUCAGCCAAAUGACACUAACCUGAGAAGAGUUUGCAUUUUCAGUCCAGCCACUGGCAUGACCUUUUGGAAUAAAGGUGACUCUGGACCAAUCUUGAUAAAAUUACUGUCAUUACAGUGGAAAAGUUUAUUUUUUUCCCCCUUGUCCUCAAAGCAGAAGACUGCGGCACGGCACCGUUUGUAUGAAGUUUGAAUUUGAGACUUGGUUGAACCAACAGCCAUGCUUUCAGAAGUUUCAGAGAAUGCAUCAACAAGGAAUUAGGGAAGUUGAUUGUGUGAGGACAUGAGAGUUUCCAAGACAG
rnacentral:lncRNA from 1 species